rnacentral:lncRNA from 1 species
AUUAUCCAAAACCUUUCCCAUGUUGUAGGGAGUCAAAAGAGCUUUCAAUGAUCCAAAUUUCACUUUAAUCGGACCUACCAUUUAAGCGUUUGCCAAAACAUCAUGACCUGCUAGCCUUGAGAACUACAGGCCCCACAUGACUAGAAGUGACUCGAGCUUAUCUAAGCAAAGGCCCAUGCCUUGCCCAAAUGAUUCCCAGGUAUUGUGUAGCGACUUCUGGAAGAUUCCUGAACCUUUUGAAGGUAAUAAACUGGACUGACGGACUGUGUAUUUUGAAGAAUAUCAUGUUGCAGCGGUGAAGCCACAUGGGGACAUGUGUGGCCAUGUGAGCG